rnacentral:lncRNA from 1 species
AUUGUAACUCCACUCAUGGCUGCCCCAGCAAGAGAACAUCAGAUGUCUUCCCAUCUCUCUUCCGCUAUCUCUCACUUGGCGCAUCUGUCCCCUUCGUCCCGGCAUCACCUUCCCUCCGCGAGCCAGCCGUCGGCGAAGAGGCACUGCAUCCAAACUGACGGGCAUUUAGAGACGAACAGAUUGGGAAGAAGAGGCGGAAAAUGUGGGGUGAGAUCUUGAGAAACACGGUGAUGAGUGAAAGAGUAACAAAAAACAGGUUGAGGGUGAGACUUGGUGGGGAGAUAGAGGAGGACAGAGGAAUAGAAACACACACACACACACACACACACACACACACACACACACACACACACACACACUCAGCGAGGAUGCCAGCAGCCUGUGAACGUGUGAAAGUCACAUCUGAGUGAUGGCCCAGCAGAUGCAAAGAGCAGCCUCAUCAAAAAACAAAGACAAAGAAGGAUCACGAACAAACCAUCUCUAUGGUGAACGAUGUUCUUUUCAUUUCUUCCCUCACUCUUCAAGUGGCCGACAAUGCGGCGACAGUGGCCUGGAUGCGUCUUCAAAUCUCAACGAUGCAUUAGCCCUCCGUCAAACCGAGACAAUUGGCCAAUGGAUGAGACAAUUUGUUGGAGAAGAUGGAGACAGAUAAGGAAGGAAAACACAGAAAAUCAUAGCCUUUGUGUGACAGCAUCAGCUGCUUUCAUUCUGCCCCCGUCGAUACAUCGCAGACGUCUAACACUGAGGUUACUGCAUGAAACCUGACGUGGCCCUGCCUGACUUUAGCGCUAUUAUUAUCAAAAACAACAGCGAUUGCAUAUCAGCCGUGUUCUCCUGGAAAGUAUCAAGGUGACCCCCAAAGCAUGAGUGAAGUUUAGGAAUGGUGUCAGUGAAAUCAGCAGCAAGAAUCCCACGUCUUCGGAGGAAAACUGGUUUCACGUUUUAUUCAUUCAACAACAAAGCAAAGAGGCCGAUAAAGGUGUGGUCUUGUUUUUAUCAUUACUUUAUCAUUAACUUCUAUACAAAUAAUACAAAGAUGUUCAUACACUUUCAAAUGGUUUAAAUAAUGUUGGUUGUUCUAACUGCUGCGGUGCAGCAUAUUAAACGGCCUCUUAACCCGAGCGUGCAUGUGGACAAAGGUGCAUUCGAGGAGCAGAAGAAAUAAAGUUUACCGGUGCUUUGAAGAGCUGAUGUUG